GGGGUGCUCGAGUGGCGAACGGGUGAGUAACACGUGAGUAACCUGCCCUUGACUUUGGGAUAACUUCAGGAAACUGGGGCUAAUACCGAAUAGGAGCUCCUGCUGCAUGGGGGGGUUGGAAAGUUUCGGCGGUUGGGGAUGGACUCGCGGCUUAUCAGCUUGUUGGUGGGGUAGUGGCUUACCAAGGCUUUGACGGGUAGCCGGCCUGAGAGGGUGACCGGCCACAUUGGGACUGAGAUACGGCCCAG
rnacentral:rRNA from 1 species